UACGAGGGGGGCAAAUGUUGUUCGGAAUCACUGGGCGUAAAGGGAGCGUAGGCGGGUGUUUAAGUUAGGUGUUUAAUCCCGGGGCCCAACCCCGGACUUGCACCUAAAACUGGGCUUCUUGAAUAGGGGAGAGGUCGGUGGAAUUGGAGGUGUAGCGGUGGAAUGCGUAGAGAUCUCCAAGAACACCAGUUGCGAAGGCGGCCGACUGGACCCAUAUUGACGCUGAGGCUCGAAAGCAUGGGGAGCAAACAGG
rnacentral:rRNA from 1 species